rnacentral:rRNA from 1 species
GACCGAAAGGGAAUCAGGUUAAUAUUCCUGAACCAGGACACAGAAGUCGGUCUCGCCUAACCUGACUUCGGCCAGGCGGCGAGACCCGUGGCGGUAACGCAAACGAACACGGAGACUGUCGGCGGGAGUCCCGGGAAGAGUUUUCUUUUCUUUGUAAAGGACGGACUCCAUGGAAUCGGCUUGCCCGGAGAUAUGGACGUUGUUCCUGUAAAGCACCGCGGCUCUUGCGGUGUCCGGUGCACUUCCGCCGUCCCUUGAAAAUCCGUGGGAGCGAUAUGAUUUUUGUGCCUGACCGUACCCAUAUCCGCAGCAGGUCUCCAAGG